rnacentral:rRNA from 1 species
CCUACGGGUGCAGCAGUGAGGAAUAUUGGUCAAUGGGCGGAAGCCUGAACCAGCCAAGUAGCGUUCAGGAUGACGGCCCUACGGGUUGUAAACUGCUUUUAUCCGGGAAUAACGCUCCUUCCGUUUAGGGCUUUGCAUGUACCGUAUGAAUAAGGACCGGCUAAUUCCGUUCCAGCAGCCGCGGUAAGACGGGAGGUCCGGGCGUUAUCCGGAUUUUUUGGGUUUAAAGGGGGCGUCGGCCGCAUGUCCAGCGUGCUGUGAAAUGUCCGGGCUCAACCCGGGCCUUGCAGCGAGAACUGGCGUGCUUGAGUCCGCGGAAAGUAGGCGGAAUUCGUGGUGUAGCGGUGAAAUGCUUAGAUAUGACGAAGAACCCCGAUUGCGAAGGCAGCUUGCUGCAGCGGAACUGACGCUGAUGCGCGAAAGCGCGGGUAUCGAACAGGAUUAGAUACCCGUGUAGUC